rnacentral:rRNA from 1 species
AUUGAACGCUGACGGCAUGCCUUACACAUGCAAGUCGAACGGCAGCACGGGAGCUUGCUCCUGGUGGCGAGUGGCGAACGGGUGAGUAAUACAUCGGAACGUACCCAGUAGUGGGGGAUAACGCACCGAAAGGUGCGCUAAUACCGCAUACGACCUACGGGUGAAAGCGGGGGACCGUAAGGCCUCGCGCUAUUGGAGCGGCCGAUGUCUGAUUAGCUAGUUGGCGGGGUAAAAGCCCACCAAGGCGACGAUCAGUAGCUGGUCUGAGAGGACGAUCAGCCACACUGGGACUGAGGCACGGCCCAGACUCCUACGGGAGGCAGCAGUGGGGAAUUUUGGACAAUGGGGGCAACCCUGAUCCAGCAAUGCCGCGUGUGCGAAGAAGGCCUUCGGGUUGUAAAGCACUUUUGUCAGGGAAGAGAUCUUUCAGGCUAAUACCCUUGGAAGGAUGACGGUACCUGAAGAAUAAGCACCGGCUAACUACGUGCCAGCAGCCGCCGUAA